rnacentral:tRNA from 1 species
GCGAGUGUAGCUUAGUCGGUAGAGCAGAUCCCUCUUAAGGAUAAGGUCGUGGGUUCGAAUCCCACCCCUCGCA